UACGUAGGGUGCAAGCGUUAAUCGGAAUUACUGGGCGUAAAGCGUGCGCAGGCGGUGAUGCAAGACCGAUGUGAAAUCCCCGGGCUCAACCUGGGAACUGCAUUGGUGACUGCAUCGCUAGAGUAUGGCAGAGGGGGGUAGAAUUCCACGUGUAGCAGUGAAAUGCGUAGAGAUGUGGAGGAAUACCGAUGGCGAAGGCAGCCCCCUGGGUCAAUACUGACGCUCAUGCACGAAAGCGUGGGGAGCAAACAGG
rnacentral:rRNA from 1 species